GGAGAGCACAGGUGGCUCAUUUAGAAGCAGCCAUAUCUCAUGGUGCGUGGCUGCCUGUACAUGGGCUGCCUGUGCU
rnacentral:miRNA from 1 species